rnacentral:rRNA from 1 species
UUCCUACGGGAGGCAGCAGUGGGGAAUAUUGCACAAUGGGGGAAACCCUGAUGCAGCGACGCAGCGUGCGGGAUGACGGCCUUCGGGUUGUAAACCGCUUUCAGCAGGGAAGAAGCGCAAGUGACAGUACCUGCAGAAGAAGUACCGGCUAACUACGUGCCAGCAGCCGCGGUAAUACGUAGGGUACGAGCGUUGUCCGGAAUUAUUGGGCGUAAAGAGCUCGUAGGUGGUUGGUCACGUCUGCUGUGGAAACGCAACGCUUAACGUUGCGCGUGCAGUGGGUACGGGCUGACUAGAGUGCAGUAGGGGAGUCUGGGAUUCCUGGUGUAGCGGUGAAAUGCGCAGAUAUCAGGAGGAACACCGGUGGCGAAGGCGGGACUCUGGGCUGUAACUGACACUGAGGAGCGAAAGCAUGGGGAGCGAACAGGAUUAGAUACCCUGGUAGUCCAUGCCGUAAACGUUGGGCACUAGGUGUGGGGGGCAUUCCACGUUCUCCGCGCCGUAGCUAACGCAUUAAGUGCCCCGCCUGGGGAGUACGGUCGCAAGGCUAAAACUCAAAGGAAUUGACGG